rnacentral:other from 1 species
AAAGUCCUGCGAUGUACGUUACGCUUCUACGAUGUUUUGAACCAUUGUUCGUUUCUCGGGAGCUCUAGAUUGGAAUGUAGCUGAUAUGCCCUCAAAAGGGGACCUCAAAAGCGUUCCUGCGAGCACCCACCUGCUAAGCAGGUUCAGAAACUCUUGAUCGGACGGCAUUUGCGGGUUUUUC